GGAAGGAUAUUGCGUAUGUUCUGUAUGGGUAACAUUCAGCGUGUCCAUGCAGAGCACUGACACAGGACUCUCUCUAUUGGCCGUUUGAGUAACAGCCACUAGAGGUCUUGGCAGGCAGCAAUGUAAACACUGACUUUCUUCUGAAAAUACAUUAAGCUGUAGUGGUUCUGGUGACUAUAGUUUCCCUUUUAAAAAAAAAAAAAAUCUGUAGAGGACAGUCCUCUGACAUAAAUUCCCUAUGUAGUGUGAAAU